CUUUAAUUUUCUCAUGACUUAUUUCUUCGCGACGACGCAACAAACAGGUUCAAGCGGCGAUUUCCUCUUCUUCAUCAAGGUUCGACGAUUUCCUUCUUCAUCAACACGGCCUGCUAGGUUUCCUUCUUCUUCAUCAACCCGAUAGGCUAGGGUUGUGUUCUUCAGCGACGCAACAGUGCUAGGGUUCACGACAGUGCUAGGGUUGUGUUCGCCGCUCGAUUCCACUGUUAUUCAUAAAAAGUAAAAAGAACGAACGAUGCAUUAUAAAUAUCAUCACAGAUUGUCUCGCAAAGAUUAUAUCGGUUUAGAGGCUGAAUUGGUAAGCUUCAUAGCAUUGUAUUUGUCAUUUUAAAACAAGUAUUUAAUAUUAUGUAACUAAUCAUUUUUUUGGAUUUAUAGAGAGAGAAAAAAAUUAAUUGCUGAAAAUGAGGAAGUUGAUAGAUCGAUACUUUGACGUAAAACCCGCGAGGACAAAUCUGGCAACAUAACAAAUAUGGAGAUAGCAGAAGAUGACUUGUUGGAAAAAAAGUCAAAGGAGAGUUCAAAUCUUCUGAGAUGAAUGAUGUGUUAACCACUGCCUUAGGAAAUCGAACAGAGAUAACAUCUGCCUCAUCCCAUAUAACACUGGGUACCAUUGGAUCUUGACUAUAAUUAAUGAAGAUAGAAUAUGAUAUAUUUAUUGGACUCUUUGAGUAACAGGAACGAGACUAUGCUUGGCAAAUUAUUGUGACCAAUGGAGUCAAGAUAUACAAUGCAUCAAGGGGUAUUUUAAAAGGAUCAUAUUUUAAACAAUUGACGGGUAAUCUUAAACAAAAUGGUGGUAUUGAAUGUGGAUAUUGUGUGAUGCGGUACAUGAAAGAGAUAGUCUUGGAUGAAUAACCAUAAUUGGAGAGGAAGUUUGCAGCAUCAAAAAAUAAACAGUAUUACAAUCAAUCUCAGUAUGAUGAAGUCAGAAGU